rnacentral:rRNA from 1 species
AGCAGCCGCGGUAAUUCCAGCUCCAAUAGCGUAUAUUAAAGUUGUUGCAGUUAAAAAGCUCGUAGUUGAAUUUCGGGAUCAAUAUGUUGGUCGUGCCUCGGUACGUACUAGCUUAUUGGUUUCUCCUUUCUGAAGAGCCAUGAUGUCAUUUAUUUGGUGUCGUGGGGAAUCAGGACUGUUACUUUGAAAAAAUUAGAGUGUUUAAAGCAGGCUCACGCUUGAAUACAUUAGCAUGGAAUAAUGAAAUAGGACGUUUGAUUCUAUUUUGUUGGUUUCUAGGAUCGACGUAAUGAUUAAUAGGGAUAGUUGGGGGCAUUAGUAUUCAAUUGUCAGAGGUGAAAUUCUUGGAUUUAUUGAAGACUAACUACUGCGAAAGCAUUUGCCAAGGAUGUUUUCAUUAAUCAAGAACGAAAGUUAGGGGAUCGAAGACGAUCAGAUACCGUCGUAGUCUUAACCAUAAACUAUGCCGACUAGGGAUCGGAUGAUGUUAAUUUUUUAAUGUA